rnacentral:rRNA from 1 species
GAGUUUGAUCAUGGCUCAGGAUGAACGCUAGCGGCAGGCUUCAUACAUGCAAGUCGAGGGGCAGCAUAAAUUACUUGUAAUUUGAUGGCGACCGGCGAACGGGUGCGUAACGCGUAUGCAACCUACCUUUUACUAGAGAAUAGCCAAGAGAAAUUUUGAUUAAUGCUCUAUACACUUUAAGGCUCACAUGAGUCUAAAAGAAAAGCUCCGGCGGUAAAAGAUGGGCAUGCGUUCUAUUAGCUUGUAGGUGAGGUAACGGCUCACCUAAGCUUCGAUAGAUAGGGGUCCUGAGAGGGAGACCCCCCACACUGGUACUGAGACACGGACCAGACUUCUACGGAAGGCAGCAGUAAGGAAUAUUGGACAAUGGAGGCAACUCUGAUCCAGCCAUGCCGCGUGAAGGAAGAAGGCCCUAUGGGUCGUAAACUUCUUUUAUACAGGAAGAAAUCUUUCCACGUGUGGAAAGUUGACGGUACUGGAAGAAUAAGGACCGGCUAACUCCGUGCCAGCAGCCGCGGUAAUACGGAGGGUCCAAGCGUUAAUCGGAAUUACUGGGCGUAAAGCGCGCGUAGGCGGUUUAGCAAGUUGUAUGUGAAAGCCCUGGGCUCAACCUAGGAACUGCAUACAAAACUACUAAGCUAGAGUACGAGAGAGGAGAGUAGAAUUUCUGGUGUAGCGGUGAAAUGCGUAGAUAUCAGAAGGAAGACCAAUGGCGAAGGCAGCUCUCUGGCUCGUCACUGACGCUGAGGUGCGAAAGCGUGGGUAGCGAACAGGAUUAGAUACCCUGGUAGUCCACGCCGUAAAACGAUGACAACUAGCCGUUGGGCAGAUUUAACUGUUCAGUGGCACAGCUAACGCAUUAAGUUGUCCGCCUGGGGAGUACGGCCGCAAGGCUAAAACUCGAAUGAAUUGACGGGGGCCCGCACAAGUGGUGGAGCAUGUGGUUUAAUUCGAUGCAACGCGAAGAACCUUACCAAUCCUUGAAAUCUAGCGAAGUUCGCAGAGAUGUGAAUGUGCCUUCGGGAACGCUAUGACAGGUGUUGCAUGGCUGUCGUCAGCUCGUGUCGUGAGAUGUAUGGUUAAGUCCAGUAACGAGCGCAACCCCUAUCCUUAUUUGCCAGCGCGUAAUGGCGGGAACUAUAGGGAGACUGCCGGGUGAAACCCGGAGGAAGGCGGGGACGAGGUCAAGUCAUCAUGGCCCUUAUGGAUUGGGCUACACACGUGCUACAAUGGGAAGUACAGAGGGAUGCGAAAGCGCGAGCUGGAGCCAAACCCUUAAAACUUUUCUUAGUCCGGAUUGGAGUCUGCAACUCGACUCCAUGAAGUCGGAAUCACUAGUAAUCGCGAAUCAGAAUGUCGCGGUGAAUACGUUCUCGGGCCUUGUACACACCGCCCGUCACAUCAUGGAAGUGGGUUGCACCAGAAGUGGUUAGUCUAACCUUCGGGAAGACGAUCACCACGGUGUGAUUCAUGACUGGGAUGAAGUCGUAACAAGGUAACC